UACCUGCAGCCCGAGUGGUGGUCGAUUUUAUUGAGUCUAAAACGUUCGUAGCCGGUCCGGUAAAUCCCUGGGUAAAUCGGGAAGCUCAACUUCCCGAAUUCCGGGGAGACUGCCGGACUUGGGACCGGGAGAGGCUAGAGGUACUUCUGGGGUAGGGGUAAAAUCCUGUAAUCCUGGAAGGACCACCGGUGGCGAAGGCGUCUAGCUAGAACGGAUCCGACGGUGAGGGACGAAGCCCUGGGUCGCAAAC
rnacentral:rRNA from 1 species